UAGCUCAAUGUUGGAGCACUUGCCUGGCAUGCAUGAAGCCCUGGGUUCAAUCCCUAG
rnacentral:tRNA from 1 species